rnacentral:rRNA from 1 species
UACGUAGGGGGCAAGCGUUGUCCGGAAUCAUUGGGCGUAAAGAGCGUGUAGGCGGCCCGAUAAGUCCGCUGUGAAAGUCCAGGGCUCAACCCUGGAAUGCCAGUGGAAACUGUCGGGCUGGAGUACGGAAGAGGCGAGUGGAAUUCCUGGUGUAGCGGUGAAAUGCGUAGAUAUCAGGAGGAACACCGGUGGCGAAGGCGGCUACCUGGACAGAAACUGACGCUGAGGCGCGAAAGCGUGGGGAGCAAACAGG